GCCAGCGGGCGGGGCGCCCCCUUGCGGAACGUCGCCGCCGGCCGUUAACGCCGCGCCGCGUCACGUCCCGCGUGGCCGCCCGCCGCACCUCCGCCGGUGGUGAAAACGCUUAAAGAAACUGUGGCAGCUUUGCACGGAAAGGGUCCGCGUCUCGAAACGUGCCGCGGAAACAGAAAUGUCUGAGUGACGCAGUAACCGAGCGGCGCCACCCGCGGUCGGCUGCGUCCGGCGGAGCGACGGAGGGAGCGGACGAAAGCAGAUUUCCAACGGACUGUUCUCAAAGGGAGGGACUGACGGAGGUUUGCUGGGCUGCACUCGGACCGAUGAUUAAUUAGAACGAGGAACAGCACUCCAGCGGGAAUAGGGGAAAGACCUGUAUGUAAAAGGGGACUGCAAACUACGUAGGCCGUAUGUAAAACCACCGCCACUAAAUUGCCUUUUAGUUUUCAGUAGUUCCAUUGAAGAGUGCCAGCAUAUCCACAUCGCUGCUUUUUAAGUUACCUUCCACGUAAGCACCAGACCUCUGUGCUGCGGUUCACCUGCCAGAUAAAUGGGUUGUGAGCCAGGUGUGAGCACGACCGCACUCGUUUUGAAUCACCCAUGGUGCUGUUUUUAUGCUGCCCUUUGGCUUUUUGCUGGCUGCGGGAAGGCCGGUGAUACCUGAUCUGGGUGAGGUAUGCUGGGACAAGUUCACCUCUUCCAUAAACUCUAAAGCAAAUUUGAAUCAGCAGAGCGUGUACCGGGUCAGUGCGUUGCAUCACGUUUCCCCGGCCCCUUGAUCCGGUGUUUGGUGUCCCAAAAGGAAUGCAACAUCUCCAGCCAGGAGAUACGUAGCACAAACAGAUGAGGGCGCUGCACCACCCAGCUGCUCCCCAGCGCUGCCCUACCCGGGCUGCUGCCCCUCCAGGGUCCAGCAGAGUGCAUGGCUGCUCCCUCAGACUGACCGUGCUGAGCCGGUGAUGAUCUGCAGCUGAGUGCUCAGUUAGCACUGCCCGCAUGGAGCAAAGCAGGAUGAGGGCUGCUGCCACGGGGUACUGAGCUGCGAGGUGGGAGGAGAGCCCUGUGAGGACGGUCAUAGCCACACUGCUGCACACAGGAGAUCUGCAGCCACAUCAGUCUGCGUGUGCCGGUGCUGCUGUGCUGUUACUGAGACAAACUCACCUUGCACAGAUCUGACGUGCCUGUUAAAUGAUGCUUACCAAACCCAACAGAAACGUUCGUGUCACAACAAACAAUUAGCUUGUUGUGGCAGCACACGAGCAAGCAUUCUCAGCUACUCAUUUAUAACUUCAAAAAGCAUCAUCCUAGGAGGAUGAGAAAACACCGUGUGGCUUUCAGAGGGAGCUGGUUUAGGUUCUGAAAGAUGUGUAUCUGAAAGUCUGUAUGCAAAUAGAAGCGCAGUGUUAGGACUGGGUGUUCUCUGCACACCUGUUGGCAUCAGGACUAUUUCUGCAGCUUUAAGUUACUUAUAUCUGAGAGUAAAGGGUUAUAGAAGAUACGUCCAGCAGUGAAUUGUCCUUUUAGGUUCUGCAAACCAACCUCCAGAGUGAGCUCUCUCUGUGACUUCUGUGCAAGAGAAGAGGAACUUGCCUCACCUGUGAGCCCACAGGGCCAGUCCUGCUGGAAUAACCACAUGGCUCUGCGAUGUCGCAGUUUCACAGCUCGGUGUCAUUGGUGCUGUUUUUGAGGUAACACAGCUGCUGUGAGCAGGCACUGGUUAGUGCUAAGCUUUAAUUAAGAAUGGCGUUCUCAUUAGUGCGCUAAAGGAUAACAACAGAACAACAACAACAAAAACCAUCCAACGAAUGAACUCCCUGCUGCCCGCCCCACUGGCUCUGUCCCAGGGCAGCAGUGUCAGCUGAGGAGCAAAUCCGGGCUUUUUUCUUAUCUUUGUCACUGUAAAUAGAAGGAGCUUUGUCAGAAACAGAGCAGAGCUAAUCAGAACACAUCCUCCUACUUUAAUAAAUAUCCUGUUUCAUUCUGCUGAGUCCAAGGCUGAAAAAUGGUGAUUUGGGCAUUGUGUGAUGAAUGCAUGAGACAUGUGCUGGACUGAUGGCCCAGCUGGGAGCUGUGAAUCCUCCAAUUCCUCCCAGGACAAUACAGGAUGACUAUGGGAUGAAGCAGCAGAACUCUCCUGUUUUAUGCCUUGCCCACAUCCCUAGCUGAAUCACUGACCCUUCUGCUGAGGCAGAUAAGGAGGAGCACUGUGGUGACAUUUGUACCCGUGCCUGGAAACUCGAGAAAAGCAGCAAAUUCAUUCAUAUGGUAUCCCAGGGCUAUUACCUACCGGUUUUGAUACAGAGCAGUCCCCCAGAGGUGGAAGCUGGUAAAGCUCCCAGGAAUCCGUUAACAUCUGCCUGCUCCCCUGUGAGCUGCCAGGUUACUUUUCCGUGAAAAAGAAAAAUCCUUCAGAGAUGUGGGACAAUUCACUAAAGAUAAGGAGCCACCCGACCCCUGCACCCCAUCAUCACCAUGAGUUGCCCUGCAGCCAUCACUGCGGCUGAAUGGGGCCUGGAGUCAGGGAGAAUGGGCCCCAGAAGGACGCAGGAGGGGUUGUUUAUUACCUUCAGUGCUAAUAAAUAUUACAGAGAGCUGU